rnacentral:rRNA from 1 species
AAGAACCUUACCCACCUUUGACAUGUACGGAAUCCUUUAGAGAUAGAGGAGUGCUCGAAAGAGAACCGUAACACAGGUGCUGCAUGGCUGUCGUCAGCUCGUGUCGUGAGAUGUUGGGUUAAGUCCCGCAACGAGCGCAACCCUUGCCAUUAGUUGCUACGAAAGGGCACUCUAAUGGGACUGCCGGUGACAAACCGGAGGAAGGUGGGGAUGACGUCAAGUCCUCAUGGCCCUUAUAGGUGGGGCUACACACGUCAUACAAUGGCUGGUACAGAGGGUUGCCAACCCGCGAGGGGGAGCUAAUCCCAUAAAGCCAGUCGUAGUCCGGAUCGCAGUCUGCAACUCGACUGCGUGAAGUCGGAAUCGCUAGUAAUCGCGGAUCAG